ACAGCCUGCAUAAAAAUAAAAAAACAUGGCGAAACAAAUUGUUGCUAUUAUACUUAUUUUUCUGUGCCUCCAAAUACCGAAUUGAAUUUCGUUUGUAAAGUCUUUCGGUCACUCCAACAAGUUGACUUUGUGCUCAGCAGUCACUUUCCAUGGUUCAUUAGAUCCCAAUGCUGUCGAAAGCCUGAAACUGAUAUUUGAAACCCACAUACAGUGGAAUUGGACAAAUGUGCCGAGAUGAGGUAUUCUUGCGCAUUGACCAUAGGAUCUUUUCCGAAUCUUACGGUUUUGAUAGUGUAACCUAUGACGGCAUGUUUGCUAUUAUGACUGUUUCUACAUCCGUUUAGAAGGCAACCCAGCUGAGAUAUAGAGUUUCAGUUACAUGAGGAGUGUGAAGUGAAUAACCUGCCAUGGAUGUGCAUGUACCAGAUCUGCUUGAAGAGAGUCAAAUGCCUUACUGAAUGCAUCACCCAAAUGAUAAAGGUAAGCAUCAUUAUCACCUUUUUCCAUGCUACAAUGAGUUUAAUGACUGAGAAGUUGCCCAGCCGCCAUAGUGUCAAUCUACAACGCAGUUUCGUGCGGUCCUGGCACGGACAUCCUUUAGCCAAUGCUGGCUUUUGUCCAUGACAGAAGAGGGACUUCCACCAACGUUCUGCUCCAUCCCUAUCUUCACGACGUACGCUCAUCAAGCUUCUGCUUCACAGCUUCUUCCACAAAAAUAAAACUUGUCUUACUUCGCUGACGAGUUGGAAAACUUCAGUGGUCGCUUCCGUGCCGCUGUUACACACCUGCAGUCACUCACCACGGGAUUAUGCCCAGGCAAUGCAGAGGAGACGUCGAGAAGAUGGAUUUUCUCAUCUUUAAAAAUCGUCACCGGUCUCCGUCGGAUGUUGCCCCUGCUCCUGGUGCGAACGAAACUCGGUGGAGUGAAUGGAUAAUGCGCCAACAAAAUACUUCUGGCAAUGGAAAUGGACAAUCGCUGACUUGGAAAAAGACAAUCGCGGCCGGCACCAAGACUCGUCAUCAACGUGGAUCAUCGUAUUGUUGGUAUUAUUGCGUUUGUGUUAGUUAACCCGUUGGCUGCCACGCCUUU